AUUGAACGCUGGCGGCAGGCCUAACACAUGCAAGUCGAGCGAGCGGCGGACGGGUGAGUACUGUCUGGGAAACUGCCUGAUGGCGGGGGAUAACUACUGGAAACGGUAGCUAAUACCGCCUACCAUCAGCUGUUCCCAGAUGGGAUUGGCUAGUAGGUGGGGUAACGCCUCACCUAGGCGACGAUCCCUCGCUGGUCUGAGAGGAUGACCAGCAAAACGGGAACGGAGCCACGGUCCAGACUCCUACGGGAGGAAGCAGUGGGAAAUAUUGCAAAAUGGGCGAAAGCCGGAUGAAGCCAGGCGGCGGGGGGGAAGAAGGCCUUCGGGUUGUAAAGCACUUUAAGCGGGGAGGCGUUACCCGAAGAAGAAGCACCGGCUAACUCCGUGCCAGCAGCCGCGGUAAUAC
rnacentral:rRNA from 1 species